rnacentral:tRNA from 1 species
CGGAAUAAAGCAUUCAAUGCAUUUCACUUACGAUGAAAAGAAAAUGUUACUCAUUUAUUCUGA